rnacentral:rRNA from 1 species
UACAGAGGUGGCAAGCGUUGUUCGGAAUUACUGGGCGUAAAGGGCGCGUAGGCGGCCUACUAAGUCAGACGUGAAAUCCCCCGGCUUAACCUGGGAACUGCGUCUGAUACUGGAAGGCUUGAGGAUGGGAGAGGGAGUGUAGAAUUCCAGGUGUAGCGGUGAAAAUGCGUAGAUAUCUGGAGGAAUACCGGUGGCGAAGGCGGCAUCCUGGGACCAACUAGUUGAACGCUGAGGAGCGGAA